GUCUUUUGAGUACCUUCGUUUCCUCGGCGGGUUCGCCCGCCGAUUGGACAAUUUAAACCAUUUGCAGUUGCAAUCAGCGUCUGAAAAAACAUAAUAGUUACAACUUUCAACAACGGAUCUCUUGGUUCUGGCAUCGAUGAAGAACGCAGCGAAAUGCGAUAAGUAGUGUGAAUUGCAGAAUUCAGUGAAUCAUCGAAUCUUUGAACGCACAUUGCGCCCCUUGGUAUUCCAUGGGGCAUGCCUGUUCGAGCGUCAUUUGUACCUUCAAGCUCUGCUUGGUGUUGGGUGUUUGUCUCGCCUCUGCGCGUAGACUCGCCUCAAAACAAUUGGCAGCCGGCGUAUUGAUUUCGGAGCGCAGUACAUCUCGCGCUUUGCAUUCAGAACGACGACGUCCAAAAGUACAUUUUU
rnacentral:rRNA from 1 species